GUCACAGACAAAAUAUUCAAUACAACCCAUUAUGUAAUAUUUUCAGUGGAUGUAUCCGUACCAAAAAGCAAAAGGGAUCAGUGACCUCACAUGGCGAUCUUCACUUCAUUUCUACCAUAAAUACCCACAAUACCCACGAAGCAAAAUCACAACAAGAUCAUCAAUCCCUUGCUUUCCAUUUUGCAUAGAAAGAUCCCACUUCUAUUGAGCAGAAAGGAAACAUCAUUCAACAGUAGAUCACGAUCAUUCUUAAGAGCUCGCCUCGCAAUUGAGGGCUCAUAGUCCUUGAACCGAAACUCUGAUUUUCUCGCACCCUUCUCUUUCUUUGUUCUAUUUUGUACUUUUUUUUUCGUCUAUUUCUUAAUCCUCAUUUCCCGAAAACCUUCAAUAGCUGCUGUUGUUAAUGGAGAAAACGUGAGAUUCAGAAAAUGACUGGGUGGAACACUAAUGGCGUCUGAUCUUGACAAAGAACCCCCUGACCCUGAGCAAACCAGAAAACAACAAGAGAAAAGUUUGUGCACACAUUAUAUAUGAAGGAGGAAGAAGAGGUACUUGUACUCUAAACUAGAUCUUUUAUUAUAUCAUGAAGAACACGUUUUACAUCUGUUUACUACCAUACAUAUCGAUCACUAAACCAUCGUGACUUUUCAAUGUAACCAUAGCACCUUUUCAUAUAUAACUACCCAAUAACCAGAAUUUAAACGAAAAACUAGAUUACCCUUUCAACACUCCCCCGUAAUCUAGACUUUAACAUUUCUUAACUUUAUGAAAAUCUACAAUCUUUUUAACCUUUGUUUUGGGUUCCAUGUUAUCACUUUUCAAAACACAUUUAUGUUCACAACUUUGUCUUUUCUUUCAAAGUACGUUACUUUUUCCCUUUUUUUUACAGACCCACGUGAUUUGUCUUUUCUUUUACACACAAUGUACUACAGCCUUUGUUGACACACCAUGUGACUUCUGUUCUUGUCCUUUUCUUGAAUUUAAUAUAACCAUUAACCAAAGCGUGAAGACAGUUCCUUCUCUAAUAUCCUCAUUUUGCUUUUUUUUUUUUUUCAUCAAUUUGUUUUAUUUCAAAACACUUAAUGUCAUCACAAGCAUUGUUCUGAAUCUUUUCAUCCGGAUCUAUGAACACUCUAUCAUCAACAUCUUUUCAACUUGGUCACAAUCUCAUGCCAUGCAUCAAUCAACAUCAUUUUUCAGUUGGGUUCCUUUAUAUUUGUGUUCUAAUAUGCAAACAAAUGAGUUUUUUUUGAAGGAAAUAUUUUCCUGCUUUGAAAGUUAAUUGAUUAGUUUGCUUUUUUAUUUGAUACAAUCGUUGCAAAGUAACUUCAAUUCAAGAAUCUAAAUUCAUUCGAUUACUAGCCAUAAACACAUUUGUUUUCAUUAACCAAAGAGCGAACUUCUUGACCUUAGUGAAUCAGUAUGAGUUAUAUGUUUCUAUGAAGGGCAAAUCUAAGGAUUUAAGUUAAUACAUAGAUUAUAGGGCAACGUUAUAACUUUUAAGUUUCAAGUCUGUAUCAUAUUCGAAGAUAUACAUGUUUCUUAAUAAGAAGCAUAAGAAAAAUACAUUCUAUAAACCAAAAUGUCAAUAUGCCAAAAUUCUAUUAAGACUAAACUGCAAAUUUGGUCCCUAUGGCUUGUCAAAAAAUAUGGAUUAAGUCCAAAAAGUUUCUGACUUGCACCAUUAGUCCAAAAUUGAAUUUUUUUUGUGGUUUUGGUCCCUGAUAAAAUUAAAAUAACUUGAAAGGACUAUUAUGCGCUUCCUAUUUUCUUUUUACACUUUUUAAAAUAUAUUUUAAUAUUUUCAAAAAAAAAAGACCACGACAACAUUGAGUAACCCCCCCUCCCGGUAAGCUUGAUAAUCAUAACGACGACUCUUUGUCUGGGCUGUCUUCGCAUCAAACUCACACACACACAUAAUGAAAUCACAAAUUUUGGGCGUAAGUAACUAAACUCAGAAUCAAAUAGCACCAUAAUGGGUUGCCUUUUAAGAAAAUUUGCACAUGUCUAGGGAGUAAUUAGCAUCAAAUAGCACCAUCUUGUAAAAAAAAUGUCACAAAGGUUGUCUUUUAAGAAAAUUUGCACAUGUUUUUUAAGAAAUUCCAUCUACAGUUUUUUGCUAACCACAAGGACCAAAUUUGCAGUUUAGUUAAACUUAAUACAUCCAUUUCACAGUUUAGUAUACGAAAUUCACAACUUAAUAUAACAAAUUCACUGUUUAAUACACAAAAAGUAUACAUUCACAUACACCUUUAGAUAUGGAGGACAGUGUUUCUUUCAAAGUUCAAUUUACACAAUAUUCACAAUUUAAACUUUACACACUUUACUCAAAAUUAUAGAAAAUCUAUCUACAUAUAAAUGCUUCAUUUAUAUCAUAUUUAAGAUAUAAACAAAAAAUUCAUAAAAAAUAUACAAUUUAAUACAGUCAAUUCACAGUUUAAUAUAUUCAAUUCACACUCCAAUACACAAAAUUCACAGCAUAAUAUAAUAAAUUAACAGUUUAAUAUAUACAGUUCACAGCUUAAUAUAGUCAGUUUACAAUUUAAACAUAAAAUCCACAGCUUAAUGCAUUCAACUACAAUUUAAAACCCAAAUAUCACAACUUAAUUUACAAAAUUCAUAGCUUAAUACAAUAAAUCGCAGUUUUAAUACACAAAUUUAAAAAGAAAUAGUAUAACAUUAUCUAUGUUAUACGAUUCAUAGUAAUGCUAACAAAAUUAAAAAGAAAUACUAUAAUAUUACCUUUAUAUCUUUCCAGAAUCCAAGUCGUUUAUUUGCUACCUCAUUAACAAAAAAAAAACUCUAGUAAGCCAAAAUGAAACUCCUCCCUCUCCCGCAUCAAAGAUGCUUUCAAGUUGCUUCUUCUCCGGCGACCGGUAAGCGGCCAGAGAGUAAGGGAGGAACGUCAACUCUCUGGUAGUAAGGCGUUGGAGGGCGAUGAGCGAUGAAGGAACUGGUUCAAGGACCUUGAAGCUGUUUGGUACCCGAAAUGUUAAGUUUAUCGAGGAUGCAGCAGGAAAAACAUUAUGGCAGAGUUUUAAAACACCAAGGUGUUGUUUGUUUUUUUGAAGCGAAAAUGCCUGAAGUCUGCAGACCAUCUCUGCAACUCUUUGUAGCAGAAGAGGUGGACCAAACGGCUGCAACAUUUAAUAAAAAGUAUGUUUGUUUUUUAACGUCUGCAUACUGCUGUAGUAAGUUAAAGUAAGGUGUAAAGAGGUUUGAAACAAUUGACCUAGUGUUGCGCCAUGCAACAGACGCGCAAUGGUUUUUAAGUCAGAAGUCUUCUAAAAAACAAACAGCUUUGAAGAACAAACAGCUAUGAAGAGUCAAGUGUUGCGUGUGUGUUGCGGCGCGCAACAAUAAGUGGUCUGAAGUGGUUUUUUUAGAAAAAACAAACAGCAACAAAUACUGGAAUGAAGUUGGACAAAAGUUUAACGGUGACAUCAUGGAAAAGUCUCAAUGAUCCAGGAACUGGAAGCUACCUAUUUCGGCAAGAUGAAAGAGGCAACCAAUACUUCGUUAUUAUGAAAGAUACAACAUAUCAUUGGAAAAGCAGAAAUCCAAAGAACAGCUUUGAUGACAACAAAAUGUUCCCCGAGGCUGUGAGUUUGCUAUCAAACACAACCACAGGAGAUCAACAAGUAAUUACAACUUAUAACAUAACUUAUAUUGUGACCAAUCCUUACUCAAGGUUGGUAAUAAACUACACAGGCCAUUUACAGUAUUUUAGUUGGUGAAAAGCGAGUAAACAAUGGGUUUUGGAAUGGGAAGCGCCUAGAGAUUAUUGUAGCGAAUACCAUGUGUGUGGGUCAUUCGGAUAUGCAACCAACCAAAUGAUCAUUAGCCAUUGUGUAGUAGUUGUUUGAUUGGAUUUCAGUGUGCUUUACAAAGGGAUCAUAAGGUUGGAUGCAAGAGAAAAUCUGAAAUCUGUGAGAAUACUACAGAUACAUUCGUGAAUCUUACUAUGAUUAGUGUUGGUGAUACAUAUGUGACCUUUCAAAAAUCAAAUAACAAGUCUUUAUGCAUAGAGAAAUGUCAUGAGUGUGUAGCAUAUGCUUAUACAUCUUAGCAAGAGGAACAACUGGUGGAUGAAAGCUGCCUUGAUACCCAAGGUUGUUGGUUCUGGCAUUCUCAGCUUCAUAAUCUCAAAGCAUAGGGCAGACAUAAUAUCUCCAUCCGUGUUUCUGCAGGGCAUCAAGUCAAAGGGCGAUCAGAAUUUCAGAAACUUGUUGUUCCUUUAGUUGUUGGUCUUUCUGUUUUGGGGGUUACAAUCUUGUGUGUGGUUGUGUAUAUGUCUUAUACCAGAUUGGUGAAUAGAAUAGCAGAAGACAGACGUAGGAUUGAACUUGAGUCCAACAAUAUGAGCAAAACAUGCCAUUGUCAAAUGUGAUUUUGAUGCUAGGAAGUGAACACGACACCCUCCCAACUUCAACCGAUCCAACUCACGACUCACAAAAGGAUCAUGCCAUUGCCUCUUCCUCUGGUUUGCCUAAAGAAGACCCACAAUUUAGCAAAAACAUGACGGAAAUUACUGUAUUACACCCUCGUUGACACUUUUUUACACCCUCCAGGUCAAUAUAUAUUUUUAGAACGACCAAGCUAACUAUAAAGAAAAAAACAAAGACCAAUGUCCAAGGAGAGCAAUUUACAGAGGACUAUCAAUCAAUCUGCAUCGGUAGAGAAAUCUACUUAUUGAAAUAUUUUAUUAUACUUACAAACUUCUCAUUGAGAAUACAUACAUAUCAAGUCUGAAAAGUUUGUAUUUCUUGGAGGUUUAGUUUAUAGAUAUAUUGAGAGUGCCUUUGUAUGAGAAUUGUUGAGAGGGACUUAAUGCGUCAUAUGUUCAGAACUUUUGGGUUUCGGCUCGUUUAUUACAAACUUCUAGGUUGAAGGACAAACAGGUUUUACCCGAUUGCUUAUGAUCGGUGUUUACUUCGGUCCAUGCCCCGAAUCUCUACCCGAUGUAUAAAUUAGAUUGUGUGUGUGUGUUGUUCAGUCAUAACAACAAGAUACAACACACUACAUAUCUAUUUUCGCUGUCUAGCUCUCUCAGUCAUAGGGCUUCUUCGUUGUUUAUAGAAAAGUUCUUCAUGUGUAAUCUUCUUUUUUCUUCAAUAUAGUUGAGUGUAGGAUAGGGGAGUGUUUUGUGGUGAGGUUACUAUGUACACAAUGUAAGCAAAAUUCAUUAAUGGUACGAUAAGUUGAUAAUUA